CAGUACUAGAGGCUCAUCUCAACACAAUAGCUCAAGUGAAUUUUGGAACCAUAGGGCCCCUUUAUGGAACAACAAAGGGGCUGAAUUAAUGAAUUUACCAAAACACCUUGCUAUAAGACAGACUCACAGGCACACAUCACAAACUGUGGCUGUUGAUGACAUUAAGUAAGAGAGUCAGUGUAGGGGGUCAUGUGCUUGAAAUGCUGAGGGAGCAUGAUGACUCUUGUUGGGUGCAGCAGAUUUUAAACUUGGUGAAUUUAAGUUAAUCUUACUUUCCUUUUUUCUAGCUGUGUAGGGUCUGAAAUCCUACAGUGAAUUCUGAAGAUAUCUUAAGAGCUUGCUUAGUGAUUAAUGCCUAAAUUUUGAGUAUUUUAAAUAAUGAGGUUGUUUUGAAAAUAGGAAUCUUUCUAAGAGAAUGGCUUGUGACUGGAUGCUGUCUGUCUAUCUAUCUAUUCAUUCUGCUCAUGAAUAUUUGUUGAGCAGCUAUGAUAGGCCAGGUUAAGGUUAAUCUUCACUGUGGGGCUAGAGAAGGAACAAGAAAAAUCUAUGUCCUCACGGGAGUUUACAUUCUGGUGGGUGUAGAAAAUAUGAGGUGUACAAAUAAAUGUAGACAGAGAGUGACCAUGUCAUAAAGAAAAUAAAGGAGGUGGGCAAAACAGGGCAUGAGCUUGGGUGGCAGGGAGGGCCCCUCUGUGAGGUCACCAUGGAAUGAUAGGACAAAGCCAGUCAGUUAACAACUAGGAGAAAAGCAUCCAGAUAAAUCUUUCUUUUUCUCCAAGCUCCCCCUCAACCCAGGCCCUGGUCUGAGAGUAUCUCAAAGGAAACCAAGUCUUGGAGAAUGAAGCCCCUGUCCCACCCCCUCUCUCCCCACCUUUAUUGUCUAGGUAUUCAGAGCCAGGAUAGACGGAUACAGGAGACUGGGAUGGGAAAGGAUCUACAGGGCCUCUUCUUUUCUGACUGUGGCACCAGGGACACAGGCCAGCCAUGUUGUGUGCGGCUGUGACCAGAUGGACGACACUGAUAAGAGACUUGAGCACAGUUAUAGGGGCGGUGAUCCAGAGGCCCACUUGGAAAAACCCACAGAGCCAACUCAAGGUCCCUCAGAGAAAUUGAACAGGUGGAGGGAGCAGUAGAAGAGCUCAUUUCCAGCACAAAGGAUAAACAGAUCAGGCUUGAGGCUUGAUUAAGGGUUCGAGAAGCGUGUCUGUGGAAAUCAUCCAGAAGUCCGCUGAGUGAGUAGAAGGAGGAGGUCGUGAGGGGACAGCAGGGCAUUAAGUAGAAAGAAACGAUGGCUAAGGCAAUCCUGCAUAGCCUUGGGAUGGACAGGGCAGACAGGGUGGAAUCAGGAAGGCUGCCCAAGGCACCUUGCCCUCCCGUUUGAUCUGGAGCCACCGGCAGCACUCACGGAUGAAGUUAGGCACAAACAGGAAGAUAUUUUCACCUGGUGUCGUGGCAGCCCCCUUGCCGCCCCUGGGCCCCAUCUGGAGGUGGCAUCCGAGUCCCGGCCCCGCUGCGCCCUCACCCUCCAGCCCGGUGCCUCAGGCCAAGCCAACAAACAGUGCACAGGCCUCCAUUGCCCCUGCCCUGGCUGCUAUUUAUUUUUUAAGAAGUUGUCUGAAAACCUCUCUAGAGCAAGUCAGGAUACACACACACACACACACACACACACACACACACACACACACACACACAAGGAAAGUCCUAUGCUCUUCUUUCUACCUACCCAUUCAACCUAAUUAUUGCAGUGGUUGGUUUAAAAACAAUUAUUGGCAUUAUUUUUUUAGGAAGUUUUAGGUUUACAGCAGAAUUGAAGAUGACAGUGGUUUUAUUUGGUUUCAGAACAGGUUCUUCCCAGACUCUCAUCAAGAUAACUUUUUGCAACCAAAGGUGUACCUUCCUAGGAAGACUUACAAUCCAAAAGCUGUCCCCUGGCUCCUGCCCAGUAGUUCUCAAACUUUAGCAUGCAUCAAAACCACCCAGACAGCUUGUUAAAAUACAGAUUGCUGAGCCCCACCUUUCGAAUUUGAGUCAGUAGGUCUGGGUUGGGGUCUAAGAUUUUGCAUUUCUAACAGUUCCCGGUGAUGCUGAUGCCGCUGUUUCGCAGACCACACUUUGAGAACCACUGCUCCAUAUAAAUCACUUGCUGGCUGACUUAGCAAGUAAAAGUACACAAAACAAAAAUGAGAUUUAACAGUG